GGCAGCAGUGGGGAAUAUUGGGCAAUGGGGGAAACCCUGAUCCAGCGACGCCGCGUGAGUGAAGAAGUAUUUCGGUAUGUAAAGCUCUAUCAGCAGGGAAGAAAAUGACGGUACCUGACUAAGAAGCCCCGGCUAACUACGUGCCAGCAGCCGCGGUAAUACAGGAGCCAGCAGCCGCGGU
rnacentral:rRNA from 1 species